UUUAUUUAUCAUUCCAGGUGUCGCACUGGGGCUUCAUAAUCUAUGAACUCCUGAGUCCACUGAGUUCUAGGAACUAUGGAACAGUUAGCACAAAUACCAGUGUAUUAAAGAAGAGGAGGGGAGGAGAAGAAAAAAGAGAAAGAGAAGAAGAAGAAAAGAAAGAGGAAGAAGAUAAAGGAGAAGAGAUGUCAAAAAAGGAUAAUUAGACAAAAAAUAAACCAACCACCUAUAUUAUUUAAUAAAUUAUG
rnacentral:lncRNA from 1 species